CCCAGGGGUGAUAGAACGUUGAAUACACCAGUUCCAAAUUGAUCACUGAAGUUAAGCUACGUUGUGCGUGUUUGGUAUCCAGAUGACCGACCAUUGGCAUUGGGCAAUUGCAAGCUGCUGGAU
rnacentral:rRNA from 1 species